rnacentral:rRNA from 1 species
UUGAUAGGCCGGAAUCGUAUUAGGUUGAAGGAGAAAUAAUAACCUCCUUGCCGAAAAUGCGUAGCCGAAAGGCCACACUUUCACUGAAAUAAGGGGAAGACUCAUAAAGAGGCAGCAGUAGAGAAUCUUGUGCAAUAUAUGAAAGUAUGACACAGAGAUAUCGCAUAUAUGGGCUGUCUAAUAUACGUGCCAGCAGAUGCGGUUAUACGUAAGGCCUAAGUUUUUAUUGUAAAACAGGUGUAAAGGGUGUGUAGGUGAUUAAUAAUUUAGAGUUAAAAAGAAGUAGAUAGAACUUUUAUGUAACGGUAGAAUGUUUUAAUAUAAAAUGGAAUACCAAAGGCGAAAGUAAUCUACUAGCUUUAACUGACACUGAGACACGAAAGCAUGGGGAGCUAAUAGGAUUAGAUACCCUAGUCGUCCAUGCUGUAAACGAUGAAUAUUAGAUAUAUAGAAAAUGUGUCUUGAAAAACUUCCAAAUUCCACCUGAAGAGUACGAUUGCAAGAUUAAAAUUCAAAAAAUUUGGCGGUUCACUAUUCCAAUUAGAGGAGCGUGUAGUUUAAUUCGAUGUUACACGAGAAACCUUACCAAAACUCGAACCCUAACCGGAGAAUAAAGAUUAAAAUAAAUCCAAGUUAGGCCAGGUAUUGCAUGGCCGUCGUCAGUUCGUGUUGUGAGAGAAAUAAAACGGACUUAACCCUUUAAUGUAAGUCGGUAUAUUAUUAAUAAUUAAAUUAAAAGGACGACGUCAGGCCCUUAUGAUCUCUAUGUUUUGGGCAGCGUAUGCGCUACAGUGUUUUAGAUAAAGGGGGGGAUAAAAAGGAAAUAAAACUUUAAAAUAUUACUCGAAAAGAAAAUUGAAAUAAUUUCUUGAAGUUGGAUUUAAUAGUAAUCGAAAAGUAGAGCGUUUCGGUGAAUAUGGCCCUAGUGUUCGUACAAAUCGCCCGUCAACUC